rnacentral:rRNA from 1 species
UACGUAGGGUGCAAGCGUUAAUCGGAAUUACUGGGCGUAAAGCGUGCGCAGGCGGUUUUGUAAGACUGUCGUGAAAUCCCCAGCUUAACCUGGGAACGGCAUCCGAUACUGGAGGGCUUGAAUUCGGGAGAGGGAUGCAGAAUUCCAGGUGUAGCGGUGAAAUGCGUAGAUAUCUGGAGGAAUACCGAUGGCGAAGGCAGGUCCCUGGGCUGACACUGACGCUCAUGCACGAAAGCGUGGGGAGCAAACAGG